rnacentral:rRNA from 1 species
AACGCGAAGAACCUUACCUACUCUUGAAUCCACGAAAUCCUGCAGAAAUGUGGGAGUGCCUUCGGGAAUCGUGAGACAGGUGCUGCAUGGCUGUCGUCAGCUCGUGUCGUGAGAUGUUGGGUUAAGUCCCGUAACGAGCGCAACCCUUGUCCUUAGUUACCAACGAGUAAAGUCGGGGACUUUAAGGAGACUGCUGGUGAUAAACCGGAGGAAGGUGGGGAUGACGUCAAGUCCUCAUGGCCCUUACGAGUAGGGCUACACACGUGCUACAAUGGCCGGUACAAAGGGAAGCAAACCUGCGAAGGGGAGCGGAUCUCAAAAAGCCGGUCGUAGUCCAGAUUGGAGUCUGCAACUCGACUCCAUGAAGUUGGAAUCGCUAGUAAUCGCGGAUCAGAACGCCGCGGUGAAUACGUUCCCGGGCCUUGUACAACCGGUACUA